CUGGAAGUGAACCGGAUUCCGGAGCUAAGAGGCAGCGCCUCUGCGGUGUGAACAGGAAAAAACGGUACUUUUCAGGCUCCAGCUCCGAGCCGGAGCUGAAAACGCGUUGGUGUGAAAGGGGCAUCAGUGCAGAACAAAAUCAGGGUCAAUCCCAUGUAAAUCCAUUCCGGGAAUUUUCAACCACCCGAUCAGCUGGGGACGAUGCGUGUAGUGAAGUCACAUGUAAACAGGAAGCCCGACCCGAUACAUCGCUGGUUUAAAAGUUAAAAAACUGGAUCAGUAGGGAUCGUAACACAGUCAGAAACAGAUCAGUGCACAAUUAAAAAAGCCAGGAACUUCGCUUUAGGAUGAGAAAAAUAAUUGGACCCAUCAAGAUCAACGAUGUGUAGUCCGGUUGCCGAGUUGAACAGGCUCCAAAAGUCCAAGUAGCCGGUAUUUCCGCCGGUAAGUCACACUACUACAUUUACGAUUAGGAUUUGAGAUGUAGCAGUUGAAAAAUUGAAAGUGUCCGCCAGACAAUUUAGAUGUAAUCACUCAAUCAUACAAGUAAUACAGACAUACGGACACAGAACGAGGCGUGCUGCCAAGUUACAUUUCCAUCCAAGUUGCUCAUCCUCUGAAGUUAAAACAAAUUUGUUUUGUAUAUUUUCUGGCAGUAUGGUAUUUGUUGCUUUAUGCAUAACUAAAGAAGUCUGUAAUUCAAUUCAAUCUUUACAUGUUAACAGCCUCGACUCAAUAAACAGUUAAUUUGUGUGUUCUCAGGGAUGUGCAUUAUGCAAAAUGCUCACUGCUUUUUUCUGUAGUGUCAAUAAAGGUUUUAAAUUACACAUAUCUUAUGGAGUACAAAGGGAACCAAGACGAAGAAAAUAAAUAUGAGGCUCCAAUCUCACAUAAUGUAGUCUUACCAGUUUCUCUUCAUCCAGACACAGACCCACCACGGCCCCCCCACUGCCGGGUAACUUCACCGCCGAUCCAAACUGCAACGAGCAGUGGAAGAACAUUUCAGUACCGACCUGCCUCGCCAGCUGAACCAUCUUCAGGUUCCCCGGACCCAGACAGUCAUCAGUGUACACAGACCUGUGGGAUAUGUUGUUACUGUAGGCCCGCAGUGAUGAAGAGCUCAUCAGUCUCCACGUUGAGGAUGAAGUUGGCUCGGAUCGGCUUUGGGAGAUCCUGGAGAGUCAAAUAGGAGAUACAUAAACAAGUUAAAGACACAAUAGAUACCUUGUAUGUCAUUUUCACUUAUAUGUAAUAAAAAAACAAGUGUUUUUUGAGUGUUUUUUUGACCAUGUAAGACUAAGCCAUAUUAAUUAGGGGUCAUGUUUGGAUCU